AUCUGCUGCUUGCGGAUGUCUCUGCCGGCGCAUUAGCUAGUUGGUGGGGUAACGGCCCACCAAGGCGACAAUGCGUAGCCGACCUGAGAGGGUGAACGGCCGCACUGGGACUGACACACGCCCAUACUCCUACUGAAGGCAUCACUACGGAAUCUUCCGCAAUGGGCGAAAGCCUGACGGAGCAACGCCGCGUGAGUGAUGAAGGUGUUCGGAUCGUAAGCUCUGUUGCAGGGAAAACGUCCGGUAGAGUAACUGCUGCAGAGUGACGGUACCUGACAUGAAGCCCGCUACUACGUGCAGCAGCGCGUAUACUAUGGGGAAGCGUGUCGGAUAUGGGCUAAGCGCCGCAGGG
rnacentral:rRNA from 1 species